UUCCAAUCAAAUCAGGAGAAAAGUUCCUGUUCUAUUUUUUGUAGAUGAAAAUGUCUGAGUUUGGUUUCAUAGUAUUGUCUGAUAUCUCCACCUCUUCGAUCUCCACCCGUUCCUCCUCCUCCUCUCUCCACAGAAUAGUGUUAUGCUGGAAAAACUUAAGAUGAACUGAUUAUUAUUAGUUCAGAAAUGCUUGAAGAAUAUUUUCUGUUGUUUUUUUUUUUUUUAGCUGACAUCCUCCCUGUAGAAAAACGAUCAUGAAAUGUAACCAUCCACUCAGAGACCGGUUUAGCAAGCAAACAAGGUCUGCCAAUCUCUGUCACAGAGCGGGCUCUGCUGCUCUUGGCGAAUGGGGAGCCAUUUUCGACCUGGAUUUGAAUCAGAAUCUGAAUCUGGAUCUGAAUCUGGAUCUGGAUCUGAAUCUGGAUCUGAAUCUGGAUCUGAAUCUGGAUUUGAAUCAGAAUCUGAAUCUGGAUCUGAAUCUGAAUCUGGAUCUGAAUCUGGAUCUGAAUCUGGAUCCAGCUGUGUGUCCUUCAGGAGUGACAAGUCAAAGGACUUUAAUCCUGACUUCAAGUCCAUCAGUCCAGGAGUGAAACAGAGCCAUUUUCGACCUGGAUUUGAAUCAGAAUCUGAAUCUGGAUCUGAAUCUGGAUCUGGAUCUGAAUCUGGAUCUGAAUCUGGAUCUGAAUCUGGAUCUGGAUCUGAAUCUGGAUCUGAAUCUGGAUCUGAAUCUGGAUUUGAAUCAGAAUCUGAAUCUGGAUCUGAAUCUGAAUCUGGAUCUGAAUCUGGAUCCAGCUGUGUGUCCUUCAGGAGUGACAAGUCAAAGGACUUUAAUCCUGACUUCAAGUCCAUCAGUCCAGGAGUGAAACAGAGCCAUUUUCGACCUGGAUCUGAAUCUGGAUCUGGAUCUGGAUCUGAAUCAGGAUUUGAAUCUGAACCUGGAUCUGAAUCUGGAUCCAGCUGUGUGUCCUUCAGGAGUGACAAGUCAAAGGACUUUAAUCCUGACUUCAAGUCCAUCAGUCCAGGAGUGAAACAGAGCCAUUUUCGACCUGGAUCUGAAUCUGGAUCUGGAUCUGGAUCUGAAUCAGGAUUUGAAAUCUGAACUGGAUCUGAAUCUGGAUCCAGCUGUGUGUCCUUCAGGAGUGACAAGUCAAAGGACUUUAAUCCUGACUUCAAGUCAUCAGUCCAGGAGUGAAACAGUAAGUGUUUGUCAAGAGUUAAAGGAGGCUGAGAUAAUAGCUUCAGAUGAUCAAUAGUUUUCAGA
rnacentral:lncRNA from 1 species